AAGUCUCAGGGGUCUCUCCCUAGAGUGAGAAAAAAAGGAAAGGAAAAGAGGGAGGGAGAGAGAAGGGAACUUGUUGUCAUCAAGUCAUCUCUGAAUAUCUUGGCAUGGAAUAAUGUCAAAAAUGUCCUCAAAUUACCCACUUCAUUUGCUACACACUUAAAAACGCCCGCCUUUAGUUCUCCCACAAUGAAGUUUCCUAAAUAUUGUAUUUAAAGUACCGCACAAUGGAAGACUGGAAACUCAGUCCCUCGCCCAUCGAGUGACUCACGUCUCCGUUGAUGGUGCCGGCGUAGCUGCCCAUCACAGAUUGGGUGCAGGCAGAGCCCACAUGCUGCAUCGGACUCUGCGAGGCCACGAGACACAAUAACGAGUUGGCAGACCAUGAAGGCUACUUCCUCAGCAAGUUGAGAGUGCGGCCUACAGCAUAUUUCUCAGAUACUUGACAAUUCACCAUUCAAGGGCCAUAAGAAGUUAUGGCAGAGGUCAUCAGUCUAACAUCGCCCAGUAAAAAGAUGUGGUAAACAGCAGGUAUCCAAUAAAUUAUUAACUGCUAAUGAGAAAAA
ensembl:sense_intronic Gm16227 predicted gene 16227